CGAGAAAAACAGCACCGCCGCUCCUCCCUUCUCCUCCUCCUGUGCACUUCCCCCAGAUCCACCCCGCCCCCGGUCGUCGCCCGCGCUCCUGCAAGCCGCCGCCGACCUCCUCAGCCGGACGCCAUGGCCACCGGAGGCAGGGGACGCGACCGCGAUGGCCCUGAGCUCGGCGGCGUGGAAGCCAUUGGAGGCGCUGGCGAGGCCGAGGUCGGUGAGCAUGGCAGCGGCGGUCGGGUGCAUUGAGCGCAGGUAGGACUUCCUCAUGAGUUGUUUUCCUCCAACGCCGGGGUGUGGAUCUACGUGCGGGGGGCUGCAGCCACCGCCACCGCCUCGAUCCCGACCCCCUUCCCCCCGCUUCCCGGGGACAGACCCCCCGUCGCCUUCUCCCUUCUUCCUCGGACCCCAGGACGUCCUGCUGUCAUCUGCACCCCGUCCCAGUCUUCAUCCGGCCAUCAGGUUUCCUUCCCCUCAAAGAAGAUUUUGAAGGAAGGAGAGAAGUCCGCUAAGCCACCCCCUUAGGAAGCGGAUGGACUAGCUCGACGCGGUCUUUUCCUGCCCAUUCUGCAAUCAUGGGAGUAGCAUUGAAUGCCGGAUGAAAGCUUCAACACCAUUGCAAAUGGUACAUAGAACUGCAGAUUGUACCUCCGUCAUCCCGCCGUCCUCACCCCAUCAUUGUGCGCCCCCGCCUGUCCGCUCACGCAUUCACAUUGAGGAAGAUGAUGAGUACCUCGGCCACGCCGCCGUCCUCUCCCCGUCGUCGCGCGCCCCCGCUCGUCAUCCAUCCGCUGCUUUUCCAGUCCCGACCGCCGGAGAGUCGCGCCGCUGGGAACAAGCACCUUGCAAUCGUGGUGUGCUUCUCCGUUGGUGCUGUCGUAUAGACAUCUUGCAACCAUUCUGGAUAGGGAACGUUCUUACGGGACAUCAUGUUCACUUGGGAUACUUACUGGAUUAAGGAAGAAAUUUUGAAAUGCUUCUGAAACAAUAUCGUUUCAUUAGUUGAGGACUUUGGGUAGUUCAGCAUGUUCGAUUGAGCAUAAUUAAGAAGCUUGAUUUGUAAUUAUAUAAAAAAAUUGUAAAAUGAUCUGUAAAAGUUGAACUUCUCACCAAAAUUAUAUCACUGAAGUUAAAUCAAGUGAAAAAAUAGUGUGCUGCGGUGCAGUUACUUGCAGCUGGGACUGAUCUGAUGAAGAAAUUAUUCUGUUAAAGACCUGGCAGAUAGUUUUUCUGCUGGCAAUGUAAUUACACUUGUUUGGAUGUGCUUGUUUUGGAUUAAAUGAUAGAAUGGGUGUUGUACUGUUGUUCUUGAUUUUCUCACUUAUUUAGUAGUGUUUGACGGGCAUUCUAAUCAUUUUUUAGACCACUUUGGAGAGGGUACGUGAUUGAAAAGCUCGGACUUUCCUGUUAGCAAGAGUAUUUUAUAUCUUACCAUGAAAAGCUGUAAUGCUAUUGUUCCUACAGAUUCAAGAACUCAGAUUUAGUAACAAGAUAGAUUUUUAUCAUGCCUCGCUAUGAAAUCAUGUUUGGUUGCAGUGCAAAGGUCAAUUGAGAAUUUGAGAUCCGUUGUGAAGAACUGUAGAUGCUUGCUUGUCGACUGCCCAGAGAUUUUGUUUCUGAAUUUUUUUGUGUUGGAUCGCAGGAUGUUGCUGAUAUAUGGUCAUGUUUGUUCAAAAAAAGUCGUGAUGUGUUAUUGAUCAGGAUAUUAGUAUAUCCCAAUCUCAUCACAGGAUCUGUUCACUGGGUUUCUGAAACUAUAUAGCAUUUUAUUAGUUAUGGGUUGGAGCAGUCUUUCUUUUUUCCUCUCGAGAAAACAUUGAAGCUUAAUGUCUUGAUGCAUUUGAAAAAGAGAAUGGCAAAACAAAACAGUUUACUUAAGGGUUACAUGAGUGCCUCUGAAUUUUAGAAAAUGUCAGCAAUAGUUUCCUGUUUUGACUAAGAUUCUUUAUUUUCUUGGGAGCAAGCAUUUUCUGUAAUUCACACCACAACAUGACGGCAU